rnacentral:rRNA from 1 species
CAGUCGCGCGGGAAUACGUAGGUGGCAAGCGUUGUCCGGAAUUAUUGGGCGUAAAGCGCGCGCAGGUGGCUUAAUAAGUCUGAUGUGAAAGCCCACGGCUCAACCGUGGAGGGUCAUUGGAAACUGUUAAACUUGAGUGCAGGAGAGAAAAGUGGAAUUCCUAGUGUAGCGGUGAAAUGCGUAGAGAUUAGGAGGAACACCAGUGGCGAAGGCGGCUUUUUGGCCUGUAACUGACACUGAGGCGCGAAAGCGUGGGGAGCAAACAGGAUUAGAUACCCCUGUAGUCCCUGUCUCUUAUACA